rnacentral:rRNA from 1 species
GAUGAACGCUGGCGGCGUGCCUAAUACAUGCAAGUCGAGCGAACAGAUGAGGAGCUUGCUCCUCUGACGUUAGCGGCGGACGGGUGAGUAACACGUGGAUAACCUACCUAUAAGACUGGGAUAACUUCGGGAAACCGGAGCUAAUACCGGAUAAUAUAUUGAACCGCAUGGUUCAAUAGUGAAAGACGGUUUUGCUGUCACUUAUAGAUGGAUCCGCGCCGCAUUAGCUAGUUGGUAAGGUAACGGCUUACCAAGGCAACGAUGCGUAGCCGACCUGAGAGGGUGAUCGGCCACACUGGAACUGAGACACGGUCCAGACUCCUACGGGAGGCAGCAGUAGGGAAUCUUCCGCAAUGGGCGAAAGCUUGACGGAGCAACGCCGCGUGAGUGAUGAAGGUCUUCGGAUCGUAAAACUCUGUUAUUAGGGAAGAACAAAUGAGUAAGUAACUAUGCACGUCUUGACGGUACCUAAUCAGAAAGCCACGGCUAACUACGUG